rnacentral:tRNA from 1 species
GUUUUAAUAGUUUAUAUAUAAAACAAUGAUUUUGUAAAUCAUAAAAAAGUGAAUCUUUUAAAACU